AUUGGCCUGUGUUUGCCCGUUGGAUCCCUGCCUAGGCAGCGACAGCGACGCACGCAGGCCUCUUCAGUGGUUGGCCCGAGGACCCCUCGGCCAUUGUCGGUUUCUUGUGCUGGAUACCUUUUGGGAGGGCAUUAUUCGGUCGAAAAUGAUGGGAUUCCGCCUUUUUCCGCUCCCUUAGGGGACGCGGCAUCGGGUGGACCUUGAAGCGCGCUUCGUGUACCAUCCUCCUUGCACGUCUUUGUACGUGCUAGGGUCGUUGGCCCAUGUUGCCGCGCGCGAUCUCUCGGAUAAGGAACAUUGUGCGGGCACGAGGUCCUCGGCCUCUAUCAUGCCCAAACUUUGAGCGUCCUACGCUUCGUGCGAACGACUGCCGCUUGCGUGUUGAACGGGUCCUCGUGGCCCGUCUCAUGCGCUCGCGGCGCCCGUGGGGAA
rnacentral:misc_RNA from 1 species